AUACGUAGGUGGCAAGCGUUGUCCGGAAUUAUUGGGCGUAAAGCGCGCGCAGGCGGUCCUUUAAGUCUGAUGUGAAAGCCCACGGCUCAACCGUGGAGGGUCAUUGGAAACUGGGGGACUUGAGUGCAGAAGAGGAAAGUGGAAUUCCAAGUGUAGCGGUGAAAUGCGUAGAGAUUUGGAGGAACACCAGUGGCGAAGGCGACUUUCUGGUCUGUAACUGACGCUGAGGCGCGAAAGCGUGGGGAGCAAACAGGAUUAGAUCCCCUGGUAGUCCACGCCGUAAACGAUGAGUGCUAAGUGUUAGGGGGUUUCCGCCCCUUAGUGCUGCAGCUAACGCAUUAAGCACUCCGCCUGGGGAGUACGGUCGCAAGACUGAAACUCAAAGGAAUUGACGGGG
rnacentral:rRNA from 1 species